UACGUAGGGUGCGAGCGUUAAUCGGAAUUACUGGGCGUAAAGCGUGCGCAGGCGGUUUUGUAAGCCAGGUGUGAAAUCCCCGGGCUCAACCUGGGAAUGGCAUUUGGGACUGCAAGGCUGGAGUGCGGCAGAGGAGACUGGAAUUCCUGGUGUAGCAGUGAAAUGCGUAGAUAUCAGGAGGAACACCGAUGGCGAAGGCAGGUCUCUGGGCUGACACUGA
rnacentral:rRNA from 1 species